UACGGAGGAGGCAAGCGUUAUCCGGAAUUAUUGGGCGUAAAGCGUCCGCAGGUGGCUAUUCAAGUCUGCGGUCAAAGACUGGGGCUUAACCCUGGAAAGGCCGUGGAAACUGAAGAGCUAGAGUGCAGUAGGGGUAGAGGGAAUUCCCGGUGUAGCGGUGAAAUGCGUAGAGCUCGGGAAGAACAUCGGUGGCGAAAGCGCUCUGUUGGACUGCAACUGACACUCAGGGACGAAAGCGUGGGUAGCGAACGGG
rnacentral:rRNA from 1 species